rnacentral:rRNA from 1 species
UACGUAGGGGGCAAGCGUUGUCCGGAUUCAUUGGGCGUAAAGAGCUCGUAGGCGGCUUGGCAAGUCGGGUGUGAAAACUUCAGGCUCAACCUGGAGCGGCCACUCGAUACUGCCAUGGCUUGAGUCCGGUAGGGGACCACGGAAUUCCUGGUGUAGCGGUGAAAUGCGCAGAUAUCAGGAAGAACACCAAUGGCGAAGGCAGCUCUCUGGGACGGUACUGACGCUGAGGCGCGAAAGCGUGGGGAGCAAACAGG